rnacentral:rRNA from 1 species
CGAAUUGUAGUUUAGAGAAGCAUUUUCGGGGAUAGCUCGGGUGUAGGUCCUUUGGAACGAGGCAUCAGAGAGGGUGAGAAUCCCGUACCGCCCAGAGUCUAUUCCUAUGUGAUAUGCUUUCAACGAGUCGGGUUGUUUGGGAUUGCAGCCCAAAAUGGGUGGUAAAUACCAUCUAAAGCUAAAUACUGGCGGGAGACCGAUAGCGAACAAGUACCGUGAGGGAAAGAUGAAAAGAACUUUGAAAAGAGAGUUAAACAGUACGUGAAAUUGCCAAAAGGGAAGCGCUUGGAACCAGUGUUGCAACCUGUAAUCAGCCGGUCUUAGACCGGUGCACUUGCAGGAAGCAGGUCAACAUCAGUUCGGUUUGGGUUAAAAAGCCUUGGAACGGUCUUCGGACCGAGCCAUUGUUAUGGCCUGGGCCGGACUGAGGUCCGCUUAUAGGAUGUUGACGAAAUGGUUUCAAACGACCCGUCUUGAAACACGGACCAAGGAGUCUAACAAAUACGCGAGUAUUCGGGUGGCAAACCCUUAUGCGCAAUGAAAGUGAAAUUGGUGGGAACCUCGGUGCACCAUCGACCGGUCUGGAUUUUUUUGAUAGAUCUGAGUAAGAGCGUAUCUGUUAGGACCCGAAAGAUGGUGAACUAUGCCUGAAUAGGGUGAAGCCAGAGGAAACUCUGGUGGAGGCUCGUAGCGAUUCUGACGUGCAAAUCGAUCGUCAAAUUUGGGUAUAGGGGCGAAAGACUAA